UCGCCAUUAUGUCGAUCGUGCUGUUGUCAUCUACGCUAUAAGCACCCCUGAUGACUCAUGGGUUCUUGUGGUAACUUCUGUCCUAGUGUUAAGCUAAAUAUUAGUGAGCAUUUUUCUUGACUCAUUUGGUGGCAUAAUAUUUUGACAUGAUGGUGUCAAAUUUUCACGUGCAGGGUGUCAUUGGUUUACAUGUUGUCCCGGUGAUAGUAGUCGUUAUGAUAUAUGAAAUUUGUUCUAUACGUCAAGCUAGAGAUAGAGCAAGGAUUGUACCCGUUAAUCACUUGAUUGAUUCUGAUGAACUUCAUCACUAUGCCUCCAUUAGAAACAUUUCCCGCUAGAAGACGAUUGUCUUUCAAACUAGUGGGAUUUGAAACUGCCCAUCAAUAGUUUG
rnacentral:misc_RNA from 1 species